UACUACCCGAAACAACCCAGUAUGGACAUAAGAGUAUUGUAUACUACGAAUUACUUUUUUUAUUGUGGAAACAAGAUCCUGUUCCCCUUAACUGGGCUGCCAGUCUCGCCUAAGUCCAAGAGGACUCACCUAGUCCUGCAGUGAACUGAUGUGUCAAGUGGAUCUCUGUUGCAGUAAAUCUCCA